UACGUAGGAUGCAAGCGUUGUUCGGAAUUAUUGGGCGUAAAGCGCGUGUAGGCGGCUUUGCAAGUCGGGUGUGAAAUCCCUCAGCUCAACUGAGGAAGUGCGCCCGAAACUGCAGAGCUUGAGUACCGGAGAGGAUGGUGGAAUUCCCCAAGUAGAGGUGAAAUUCGUAGAUAUGGGGAGGAACACCGGUGGCGAAGGCGACGAUCUGGACGGAUACUGACGCUGAGACGCGAAGGCGUGGGGAGCAAACAGG
rnacentral:rRNA from 1 species